rnacentral:rRNA from 1 species
UACGGAGGGUGCGAGCGUUGUCCGGAAUCACUGGGCGUAAAGGGCGCGUAGGCGGCCGUGUAAGUCACUUGUGAAAUCCCGGGGCUCAACCCCGGGGCUGCAGGUGAGACUGCGUGGCUAGAGUACGGUAGAGGCGAGUGGAAUUCCCGGUGUAGCGGUGGAAUGCGUAGAGAUCCGGAAGAACACCGGUGGCGAAGGCGGCCUGCUGGGCUAUGGCUGACACUGAGGCGCGACAGCGUGGGGAGCAAACAGG